UUUGAGUUAUCCUAGAGGUUGAUAUAAUACUCACCUAUAUCCUUAGUGAUGGACUAUAAGUCUUCCAUGCUUACUAUAGUUUUUUAUUUGAUAAAACUUCUCGAUUUUUGUUCGCUUUCUAACCUUUCCUUUGAUAAAUAGAAGUGCGGUGGCGACUCGAAUUUUAUGAUUUACUUUUGAUUUAGUCAAUAAAUCUAAAGGUAAC
rnacentral:lncRNA from 1 species